AUAAAAAGCCAGAGCCCGUUCAGCACAUCACACAGUUGCCGUGAAGGCAGAAACGCAAACCGUAUCAAGCCUGCUGUCUUCGUCGCCCGUUAGCGUGGUACAUACCGAAAGACCGUUCGACAUGAAGUCCUACGCUAUCUUGGCACUCGUCAUCCUGGGGCACCUGUGCCAAAUUCACGCAGCCACGCUGAGCAAGCCGGCAAGGAACGUAGAGGAGGCAACGAAAGAACUCACGGAAAGGAUUUCCCGUUCUCUCGUGGAGCACCGUGAGGACAUCAUCCAUGCACUCGAGGCACUCGAAAAGUCUGCCGACAGCUUCGGCGACGAAACCGACGAGCAGGCCAUUCCUGUCGCAAUUCUGGCUGUCGCGGAGAUCAUCGCAGGCGGCGCCAUAUCCGGCGCUGUCGGGACUCUUGUGGGGAAGUUGAUCAACGAAGGCUGAAUGCUUCCGCGGAGACAUCUGUUAUUGUUUCCGUAUACAAUAAAUUCAAAAUUCUCUUGCA